rnacentral:rRNA from 1 species
UACGUAGGGGGCUAGCGUUGUCCGGAAUCAUUGGGCGUAAAGAGCGCGUAGGCGGCCAGAUAAGUCCGGUGUGAAAGUCACAGGCUCAACUUCGAGCUGUCGGUGGAAACUUUCUGGCUAGAGUCCGGAAGAGGAGAAUGGAAUUCCUGGUGUAGCGGUGAAAUGCGCAGAUAUCAGGAAGAACACCCGUGGCGAAGGCGGUUCUCUGGGACGGUACUGACGCUGAGGUGCGAAAGCGUGGGGAGCAAACAGG